CCCAGGGGAGGGAUCAGGCCCAGGCCCCACUAGAGUUCCUGGAUAGAGCUCUUCCAGCCGGCCAGACUUCCUUGACUGAGCCAAACGCAAGGAAAUUCAAGGAUCAUCUGAAUCCCCAGCCUGGCGCCAGCCUGCAGUAGUCAAACAGAAUGGGUGCAAUACCCACAUCUGAGGGGCUUCGGGAGGACUCCACACCAAUGUCUGUAAAACGACAGGUUCCAGAUCAGAGCCAUUUCCCUGUCACUGCUUCUCUGUCUUCAGGGGUGUCCACAGCGUCACUCAGCAGAACCCCAAGGCCUCUGGGAUGAGCUCCAGGUGCUUGUGAGCAUGGCGGCCCUCCCCCACUGUGCCCCCACCAUCACUUCCCUAAGGACACUCUGCCAGUACAGGGAGGAGGGCAGCUUCUUUCCUCCGGUGGAAUGUCUCAGAGGUGAGAGGAUGCUGGGCCGGGUCCAUUUCUGAGGUUCCCAGUACAUUAAAAAUGCGGAAGUUA